CGCAACUGAAGCGUCCACGUCGCUCCGUGGAGCGAAUGAUUCGUGCUUCUAGCAGGGCAGGUCUUUACUUCCCGUCUCGUCAUGGUGGGACACUUCUUCAUGCCACACCUGAGUUGUCUUGUUCCUUUAUAUACCAACACCCAUAGAAAGGUGCACCAAUGCUUGCCACACUGUCACAACUGGUCCCUGGAGAGCCGCUGGUGGUGAUGGGCUGCCUGUGCCCUCUCUGCAGCAAAAUUCCACAAAUACUCCACUCACCAAGUUCCAGAGGUAGAGAUUGUGUUAAGAUAUGGAGAAACAGACCAA